GCCGACACGUUUACUUUGAACAAAUUAGAGUGCUCAAAGCAGGCUCAAAUCUGGCGGGGCGGCUUCACGGCCGUCUCGUCAAAAGGCCCUGAAUACUGGUCGCAUGGAUAAUGGAACAAGACCUCGGUC
rnacentral:rRNA from 16 species